AGAAGAUAUUAUCAUUUGCCAGUCUUUUGGUCCAAUAUGUAAAAGGAAUUGGUAUGUUGCAAGGAUGCAGGCUAGGCAUUGGGCAACCUGGACAGCCUUUACUUAGUUUUCUGUAUAGGGUUGCAUACAUUUUCUUUUAGCUUUGGACCUUCUAGCAUCCAUGAACCACAUUUUUUUUUUCUUUCUAUUAUCGCACUUAAGUUGCUUAUGUGGUAGCUUCAAUGCUGCACCUGGGUGCCUUUGGAAGGAGUGAUUUGACCAUAACAUCUCUAGUAUCCUCUUUAUCUUUUUUUGGUAAAUUUAACAUUACAAUUUUUAUUGUAAAUGCAAAGCCAAUAUCAAGAAUCUGCAACAUUUGAUGCAAAACCUUACAUCUGUUUAGAAUUUGAUAUAAUGUGGAUUGUGGUUAUGCAGCAUCCUUGAGAAAGGAAGGCAGGG
rnacentral:misc_RNA from 1 species